rnacentral:rRNA from 1 species
AUUGAACGCUGGCGGCAGGCCUAACACAUGCAAGUCGAGCGGAUGAAGGGAGCUUGCUCCUGGAUUCAGCGGCGGACGGGUGAGUAAUGCCUAGGAAUCUGCCUGGUAGUGGGGGAUAACGUCCGGAAACGGGCGCUAAUACCGCAUACGUCCUGAGGGAGAAAGUGGGGGAUCUUCGGACCUCACGGUAUCAGAUGAGCCUAGGUCGGAUUAGCUAGUUGGUGGGGUAAAGGCCUACCAAGGCGACGAUCCGUAACUGGUCUGAGAGGAUGAUCAGUCACACUGGAACUGAGACACGGUCCAGACUCCUACGGGAGGCAGCAGUGGGGAAUAUUGGACAAUGGGCGAAAGCAUGAUCCAGCCAUGCCGCGUGUGUGAAGAAGGUCUUCGGAUUGUAAAGCACUUUAAGUUGGGAGGAAGGGCAGUAAGUUAAUACCUUGCUGUUUUGACGUUACCAACAGAAUAAGCACCGGCUAACUUCGUG